CACCCAUGGACCAGCUUUUAGCCCCACCCAAGUAUAAGGAUGAAACCUGUGGCCUUAGGUACUAGGCUGAUACCUGUAGAUCCAUAUCUCUAGGUCAGCCUCUGUGUACACAGGCUGCAUGCCUUCUUAGUGGCAGGCCAGCUCUGUGCCUAACCACACCAUUAGACCCACUGUAGUUGACCCCACCACUAGGAGCUCCUGUGGGCCCAGACUCCAAGACGUACCUUUGCAUUUCUAGGUUUCAGUUUUGCCUUGUCAGCUAAAGACCCAGGCCCAUCACAGUGCCAGCUCAACCUCUAUGAACCCAGUUCUUGUAUCAGUUCCUGUGCCUGGCCAGGGCCUUAUAGACACAAGCUCAAGACCUGCCACAGUGAACAUAGCUAGUAGGUCCUUUACCAGUAUAUCCUGUUUUCAAGCUGGCCCUUUGAACCUCAGAACCAGGUCUAUCCUAGCAGAAUCAAGCUCUGAGUUUGCCCCAGUGGAUCUGGUCUCUAGGCUCAACACUGUAUACCCUGGCACUAGGCCUGUCCACCUGAUGGUCAGGUACCAGGUCAGUCUGCCAGAGGAUUUCUUAAAUAAAUCUACCUACAGACAAUAUACUUCCCAGAAUCUCUGGACAGGCUAAUCAGCGAUGUGUUUUCCCAAUUGAAAUCAGUGUGCCAAUAUUGGAAUAAGUCCUUAUCUUUUCAAAUAUGUGGACACCAAUGCAUAGCUAAGAAACUGAAUAAUCAGGAAAACAUGAUAUCACCAAAAGAAAAAAAUAAAGCACCAGCAACAAACUCUGAAG
rnacentral:lncRNA from 1 species